GACGAACGCUGGCGGCGUGCCUAAUACAUGCAAGUAGGACGCAGUUGCGAACGGGUGAGUAACGCGUAGGUAACUCCCUAUUAGAGGGGGAUAACUAUUGGAUACGAUAGCUAACACCGCAUACUAGUAGAUGGAUCUGCGGUGUAUUAGCUAGGAGGUAGGGUAAUGGCGUACCUAGGGAACGAUACAUAGCCGACCUGGGGGGGUGAUCAGCCACAAUGGGACUGGGAAACGGCCAAGACUCCUACGGGAGGCAGCAGUAGGGGAACUGCGGCAAUGGGGGGAAACCUGACCGGGCAACGCCGCGUGGGAGAAGAAGGUUUUCGGAUCUUAAAGCUCUGUUGUGAAGGAAGCGGUACUUAACCAAAAAGGGACGGCUAACUACGUGCCAGCAGCCGCGGUAAUUC
rnacentral:rRNA from 1 species